GCUGUAGCUCAGUGGUGGGGCAUGUGCUUUGCAUGCAGAAGGCCUCAGGUUCAAUCCCCAGCAUCUCCA